UACGGGGGGGGGCAAGCGUUGUUCGGAAUUACUGGGCGUAAAGGGCUCGUAGGUGGCCAACUAAGUCAGACGUGAAAUCCCCCGGCUUAACCGGGGAACUGCGUCUGAUACUGGAUGGCUUGAGUUCGGGAGAGGGAUGCGGAAUUCCAGGUGUAGCGGUGAAAUGCGUAGAUAUCUGGAGGAACACCGGUGGCGAAGGCGGCAUCCUGGACCGACACUGACGCUGAGGAGCGAAAGCCAGGGGAGCGAAAACGGGG
rnacentral:rRNA from 1 species